rnacentral:rRNA from 1 species
AGUGAACGCUGGCGGUAGGCCUAACACAUGCAAGUCGAACGGCAGCACAGUAAGAGCUUGCUCUUACGGGUGGCGAGUGGCGGACGGGUGAGGAAUACAUCGGAAUCUACUUUUUCGUGGGGGAUAACGUAGGGAAACUUACGCUAAUACCGCAUACGACCUACGGGUGAAAGCAGGGAUCUUCGGACCUUGCGCGAUUGAAUGAGCCGAUGUCGGAUUAGCUAGUUGGCGGGGUAAAGGCCCACCAAGGCGACGAUCCGUAGCUGGUCUGAGAGGAUGAUCAGCCACACUGGAUCUGAGACACGGUCCAGACUCCUACGGGAGGCAGCAGUGGGGAAUAUUGGACAAUGGGCGCAAGCCUGAUCCAGCCAUACCGCGUGGGUGAAGAAGGCCUUCGGGUUGUAAAGCCCUUUUGUUGGGAAAGAAAAGCAGCAGGUUAAUACCCCGCUGUUCUGACGGUACCCAAAGAAUAAGCACCGGCUAACUUCGUG